GAUUGGCUAAUCGCGAUGGACGAUUACGUCAUUUUCCGGCCCGCGUUCUCGGGCACAUUCGGUUCGAUUCAAUGUAUCGUUGUAUCAUCCGUGAUUGUCCGAGAGUCUCGUGGUCGUCCGAUCGAAAAGCAGAAGGUUCAAAAUUAUUUCGACAAAAUGAUAGAUUUUCGCACGAAUUCCGGGACCGCCAACUCCGACGCCGAUAAUGGAAGAUAUAACAACACUAAUAUACCUGUUACUUCACAACCAAAUUUAGCUCCUCUUAGUCCAUUCUUGAAUUUUGACCCAUCGUAUCUUCCUGUCAGUCAGCCAGAAUUCAUAUUUCCUGAUGGUGCUGUAAAGCAGAGAGGCCGCUUCGAGUUAGCUUUCAGUCAGAUUGGAGCCGCUUGUAUAGCGGGUGCUGGAAUCGGUGGAACAUCAGGUUUAUAUAGAGGCAUCAAAGCAACAUCUAUCGCUGGUGAAACUGGCAAACUUAGGAGAACACAAUUAAUUAAUUACAUUAUGAAAGGUGGUGCUAGUAUGGCAAACUCGCUUGGUGUAAUUACAAUAAUGUAUACUUGUGCUGGAAUAGGCUUAACUUGGCUCAGAGGAACCGAUGAUAGUGUUAACACAGUUGCAGCAGCUGCCACAAGUGCUGCAGUGUUUAGAUCUCCUGCUGGAAUUAGAAAAGCCGGUAUCGCAGGCGCUAUUGCAGCAGGAGUUGCAGUAAUGUACUGUGCAUGGAACAAUGGAGGCUUGUCGUUACAGCGAAAUAUGAAUACUGGAUGGAAACAUACAGCAUAAGAGUGUACAUGUUUAGUGAGUAUUCAUGUAACAAAUUGACGUCUAUACUAUGAACAGUUCCCGAUGAGUUCUUAUAUCCUUGUAUUACUUUGUACAUAGAAAAUCUCACACCAAAUGACAAAUAAAUUAUUAAAGAGAUGUUAGGAUAAAAAAUAAGUUAUCUAGCAAUAUAUAAUAUUCGGACGCUUUAGUGGGAACACGCACUGGGAUCCUUUUUUUUUCUUAUGUGUACAUGAUUCAGAAAGAGAGGCGUUAAUCUUAUCAGUUUUUAUCUCACUAUCAGGUUUCAUGUUCGGAAAUGAGUGGAUUUUCCACCGAUCAGAGUGUUUUUGUCCGUGUACAGGUUGUAUUCAGUGCGUUUUAUUACGUUUUAUCCAAUAAUUGAGUGUGCGAUCUGCAUAUCUAAAACAAAAUUACAUAUACCGAUAAAACAAUUCGUAUGCGCGAUAUUUAUACUGAUUAAUUGUGCGAAAAAUAAAGUGUAAAUCGUAAUAACUGGGAAGAAUAUUAUGCGAGUGUAAUAAAUCCAUUGUUGAGUUUAAUAGAUUUCAUGGUUUGUAUAUGUAA